rnacentral:rRNA from 1 species
UACGGGGGGGGCAAGCGUUGUUCGGAAUUACUGGACGUAAAGGGCGCGUAGGCGGGUGGACAAGUCUCUCGUGAAAGCCCACGGCUCAACCGUGGAAUUGCGGGAGAUACUGUCUGUCUUGAGUCCGGGAGAGGAGGGUGGAAUACCCUGUGCAGCGGUGAAAUGCGUAGAUAUUGGGAGGAAAUCCGGUGGCGAAAGCGGCUCUCUGGACCGGUACUGACGCUGAGGCGCGCAAGCUGGGGGAGCAAACGGG